UACGGGGGGAGCAAGCGUUGUUCGGAUUUACUGGGCGUAAAGGGCGCGUAGGCGGUCGUGACAAGUCACUUGUGAAAUCUCCGGGCUUAACUCGGAACGGUCAAGUGAUACUGUCGGACUAGAGUACAGAAGGGGCAACUGGAAUUCACGGUGUAGCAGUGAAAUGCGUAGAUAUCGUGAGGAACACCAGUGGCGAAGGCGGCUCACUGGACCGGAACUGACGCUGAGGCGCGAAAGCGUGGGGAGCAAACAGG
rnacentral:rRNA from 1 species